rnacentral:misc_RNA from 1 species
AAAAGUCGUAACAAGGUUUCCGUAGGUGAACCUGCGGAAGGAUCAUUAUUGUACUUUAGGUCACCAAUUUUUCCGAAAGAUUGGUGAUCAUCAGUACAUUUAUUAUUGAUCCUAUUUUAAAUAGGAGCAAAAAGUAUAUUUAAAACCCCCACACUUUUGAAAAAAUUUUUAUGUAUAUUUUACUAUAAGUAAAUUAUAAGAUCACUUUCAACAACGGAUCUCUUGGCUCUC